GAUGAACGCUGGCGGCGUGCCUAAUACAUGCAAGUCGAGCGAACGGACGAGAAGCUUGCUUCUCUGAUGUUAGCGGCGGACGGGUGAGUAACACGUGGAUAACCUACCUAUAAGACUGGGAUAACUUCGGGAAACCGGAGCUAAUACCGGAUAAUAUUUUGAACCGCAUGGUUCAAUAGUGAAAGACGGUUUUGCUGUCACUUAUAGAUGGAUCCGCGCUGCAUUAGCUAGUUGGUAAGGUAACGGCUUACCAAGGCAACGAUGCGUAGCCGACCUGAGAGGGUGAUCGGCCACACUGGAACUGAGACACGGUCCAGACUCCUACGGGAGGCAGCAGUAGGGAAUCUUCCGCAAUGGGCGAAAGCCUGACGGAGCAACGCCGCGUGAGUGAUGAAGGUCUUCGGAUCGUAAAACUCUGUUAUUAGGGAAGAACAUAUGUGUAAGUAACUAUGCACAUCUUGACGGUACCUAAUCAGAAAGCCACGGCUAACUACGUG
rnacentral:rRNA from 1 species